rnacentral:rRNA from 1 species
GUCUAUGGCCAUGCCACCCUGAACAUGCCCAAUCCCGUCUGGUCUCGGAAGCUAAGCAGAGUCGAGCCAGGUUAUUACUUGGAUGGGAGACCACCUAGGAAGGCCAAAUGUCAUAGGCA